rnacentral:rRNA from 1 species
UGCGCAGGCGGUUUUGUAAGACAGAGGUGAAAUCCCCGGGCUCAACCUGGGAACUGCCUUUGUGACUGCAAGGCUGGAGUACGGCAGAGGGGGAUGGAAUUCCGCGUGUAGCAGUGAAAUGCGUAGAUAUGCGGAGGAACACCGAUGGCGAAGGCAAUCCCCUGGGCCUGUACUGACGCUCAUGCACGAAAGCGUGGGAGCAAACA